rnacentral:rRNA from 1 species
GAUGAACGCUGGCGGCGUGCCUAAUACAUGCAAGUCGAGCGGACGGACGAGAAGCUUGCUUCUCUGAUGUUCGCGGCGCACGGGUGAGUAACACGUGGAUAACCUACCUAUAAGACUGGGAUUACUUAGGGAAACCGGAGCUUAUACCGGCUGAUAUUUUGAACCGCAUGGUUCAAAAGUGAAAGACGGUUUUGCUGUCACUUAUAGAUGGAUCCGCGCUGCAUUAGCUAGUUGGUAAGGUAACGGCUUACCAAGGCAACGAUGCAUAGCCGACCUGAGAGGGUGAUCAGCCACACUGGAACUGAGACACGGUCCAGACUCCUACGGGAGGCAGCAGUAGGGAAUCUUGCGCAAUGGGCGAAAGCCUGACGGAGCAACGCCGCGUGAGUGAUGAAGGUCUUCGGAUCGUAAAGCACUGUUAUUAGGGAAGAACAGAUGUGUAAGUAACUGUGCACAUAUUGACGGUACCUAAUCAGAAAGCCACGGCUAACUACGUG